CGACCGUCGAGGAACAUCGGCCGUGUCAUUUCCGGUCAUCUACGAUCGCGGGUGUCACAUUCAUAGCGCUGUUACUUUUUGAUCCUUCGAUGUCGGCUCUUCCUAUCAUUGUGAAGCAGAAUUCACCAAGUGUUGGAUUGUUCACCCACCAAUAGGGAACGUGAGCUGGGUUUAGACCGUCGUGAUACAGGUUAGUUUUAUCCUACUGAUGCCCGCGUCGCAAUAGUAAUUCAACCUAGUACGAGAGGAACCGUUGAUUUGAACAAUUGGUCAUCUCGCUUGGUUGAAAAGCCAGUGGCGCGAAGCUACCGUGCGCUGGAUUAUCACUGAAUGCCUCUAAGUCAGAAUCCGGGCUAGAAGCAACGCAUGCGCCCGCCUUAAAUACGCGAUGGGGUAUUGUAAGUGGCAGAGUGGCCUUGCUGCCACGUUCCACUGAGAUUCAGCCCUUUGUCGCUAAGAUUC
rnacentral:ncRNA from 1 species